rnacentral:rRNA from 1 species
AACGAACGCUGGCGGCAGGCCUAACACAUGCAAGUCGAGCGCCCCGCAAGGGGAGCGGCGGACGGGUGAGUAACGCGUGGGAACGUACCCUUUGCUACGGAAUAGCCUCGGGAAACUGGGAGUAAUACCGUAUGUGCCCUUCGGGGAAAGAUUUAUCGGCAAAGGAUCGGCCCGCGUUGGAUUAGGUAGUUGGUGGGGUAAUGGCCUACCAAGCCUACGAUCAGUAGCUGGUCUGAGAGGAUGAUCAGCCACACUGGGACUGAGACACGGCCCAGACUCCUACGGGAGGCAGCAGUGAGGAAUAUUGGACAAUGGGCGAAAGCCUGAUCCAACCAUGCCGCGUGAGUGAUGAAGGCCUUCGGGUUGUAAAGCUCUUUCGACGGGGAAGGAUAAUGACCGUACCCGUAGAAGAAGCCACGGCUAAAUUCGUG